AUAGCGUAUAUUAAAGUUGUUGCAGUUAAAAAGCUCGUAGUUGAAUUUUGGACCUGGCUGGGUGGUCUUGCCGAAAGGGAAGCACUGCUCUGGUCGGGUCUUUCCUUCUGGAGAACCAGCGUGCUCUUAACUGGGUGCGCUGGGGAUCCAGGACUUUUACUUUGAAAAAAUUAGAGUGUUUAAAGCAGGCCUACGCUUGAAUACAUUAGCAUGGAAUAAUAGAAUAGGACUUUGGUUCUAUUUUGUUGGUUUCUAGGACCGAAGUAAUGAUUAAUAGGGAUAGUUGGGGGCAUUAGUAUUUAAUUGUCAGAGGUGAAAUUCUUAGAUUUAUGAAAGACUAACUUCUG
rnacentral:rRNA from 1 species